UACGGAGGGGACUAGCGUUGUCCGGAAUCAUUGGGCGUAAAGAGCGCGCAGGCGGUCGUUCAAGUCGCGUGUGAAAGCCCCCGGCUCAACUGGGGAGGGUCACGCGAUACUGAUCGACUCGAAGGCAGGAGAGGGUAGUGGAAUUCCCGGUGUAGUGGUGAAAUGCGUAGAUAUCGGGAGGAACACCAGUGGCGAAGGCGACUACCUGGCCUGUUCUUGACGCUGAGGCGCGAAAGCUAGGGGAGCAAACGGG
rnacentral:rRNA from 1 species